AGCCUCCCUCGCACGAAAAAAAACCCUCCUCUCGAUCCACCCCUGGCGCUGCCCUCAUCUCUCGCUCCGCCCGCCGCCGCCGCCCCUGCUUCCCUCCCGCUCGACCACCUCCACCGCUCCCACCCUUCUCUCCAUUGUCGGAUCCGCUUGCUCGUCAAGGUUAGGCGGCGAAAAGGUCUUGAUAUAUGCCUUGGCCACAGGUCUGCAGGUGCCCACAGAAUACAAUCCAUCGCCACCCAUGACUCCCUCACCCUGCUAGGGUUCCUAGCCCCGUCCUCCGCCGCCGCUGCGUGUUCCCGUCCGACCUCGCCCGAGCGAUUUCUUGACCUCGCCGGGAGCAGGCAGCUGGAUCCCGCCGCCGUGCCUCCCUCUCUCCCUUCUCUUCUUUUCCCCUACCUCUCUCUCUCCUCUGAACUGAGCGUCGUUCCUCUCUGCAGGUGCCGCCAUGGCCGCGUCUUGGAGCUCGCCGCCGUGGGCUGCGUGCCCCUCCGAUGACGGCCUUCCUCGCCCACGUCCAGGUCCCCUGGCCGGCCAUCUUCCAUUUUCUCUAUUCCCGCCCCAUGCCCCUCCCCAAAGAUCCCUCCCUCUCAUGGGCGUCACCACCAUCACUGCACCCAGCCUCCCUCAUCGUGGUGCAGUCAGUUCCGUUCCGUGGCCUCUAUCGUGUCUUCGAAGAAGGUCGUGAUACGCCACAAGUGGGAGCGGAAGCUGCGAUGUCAAGAUCUACAAGCAGGACAUGAACCACCUUGCCAUGUAUUUCCUCGUCACAUUAGGAUUCGUCGACGCCGCCAACAGGUUCUGUAUCAAUUCCGGCACCCAACGUACUGUAUGCCCACACAUUUAAAUCAUGCCGGUCUUACUCCUGCAAUACUCCUCGAAUAGUACUUGAGAUUUAGGCAGCGGUGGGCAUGCGCUGCAGGUCAUUCACCUGGUUGGCCUCUUUGAUGUAUCUGGUGUUGUUGUGUCAAUGUGGAAGGAGAGCCCGCUUCUCCGGGACGCUGGCGCUGACAUGCUCACUGUAGGCACCGUCAUGGCGGUGCUCGACUUAAGGGAGGAGGUCGGCAACCACCACUUCUUGAACCAAAGUUUGCAGAAGCUAUGGAAGAAAUGGUAACUUGCUUACUUGGGAAAACUGCAUUGGAUAGCGAUGAUGGUGACAGUGAUGAAUCUAAAUAGUGUGACGGUCUGAGUACUCGUGGGCGUGACGAGGUGAUUGCGGAUCCACCAGAACAUGCGAGUGGCAAUGCUUCAGGACAAGCAGCCAGCGACGGCAUAGCUUCACAGAAUGGAGUACGACGUAGGUGUCCAAGGGUUGUAUCAGGUCGCAUACGAAGAUCCUGAAGUUGCAAGUAGAUACAGUCAAUAGCAUAGUUAAAGGUGAUAUGGGAGAUAAUUAAGUUCCCUAGGCAAGCUGGAUUGAAGCUUGAUGAGCCGAACCCAAGGGGCGUGCUUAGUUUCUACCACAAAAUUCUAUCAUUCACAUCAACCGAUGUUGCAAAGCAAGUAAAAAUGUACUAGAGUCAGAUAUUUGUUGGCAACGGCUUAUUGGGCUUUUUCAAAUCAAUAUUACUUCCACUAGCAGGAAAUGGUUCAAGCAUACUUAUCCAAAUCUUAUAAUCCUGAUGGGAGAAAACAUUGUGAAGGAGUUCAGGCUGAAUGGCCAGUUAACAAGAAUCGGGUGGAUCUGCGUGUGGUGGAUGAUCGUUUACAAGGAAGGUUGAAUGUAUGGUUCCUGGAGAUGAUCAGAUGGUGCCACGUAUUUGACCUGCGAUUUGUGCCUCCAAUAGUUCCAAUGAAUGCUCCAUGUGCUCCACGCUACGAUAUAAACCAUGGUCCAGAGAGAAUGUAAGGAAGUAGGAAUCAGCAGGCGUCUCUGAGUUGUUUCAGUUACCAUAUUUGCUUGCAAGGUGUGAGGGUGAAGCCAACUCUAAAAGUGGGGUCUGUUCAAGUAGAAGGAACAUGCCAAGAUGAAAGAAGACGGAGCAAAAAAACCUAUAGAGGCAUGAACGCAACACUAUCUAAAACGUCUCACACUUCUGUCUAGGAAUAUAAUGGAAUCUGGGAAGAAAGAAAGAGGAAGAGUUCGCACCCACCUUCUCUCAAAGCCGCCGCUUUGAGUUCGUGUCGGCCCUACUGCAGUCGGCAGUUGUCAAGGUCGACCUGCGUGCCGCAGGGGAGCAUCACCGCCCUACACGCCGAGGGGCGCCAUGCGCUGGCUCCCACGUGCGGUUUGACCAACAAGUCGAGAUUGCGCGUGCGGAGGUAGAGGGCAAGGAAGGGGAAUCCGGCGUGCCCGCCCUGCACAACAUCAGGCCACAUGGAAGCUCCCGAGCACGAAAACGAACGCUCACUACUCUCUCCUUCUUGAAUUGCCGGCAUCGCUUUAGAUGGGUGAAGAGAGCUGAGCAUUUCUGGUGAAGCUGGAGGAGGAUGGAAGAAUAAUAGUCAUUUUGGAGCUAGCUACGACCUCCUCUGGAUGUUUCAUAGGGUUCCGCACAAUGUGUUCUCCUGUAAUUUGGUCACCAAGGCUGCUGAAAUGAUUUGGCAUCUGAACUUUGUCAAGUCCUUAUUGGAAGACGCAGAUUGCAGAUCAUUCUAUCCCUGUAAGACCAAGAUUUUGAUGCUCCUGUUACCUGGCAUCGAGGUCUAAAUGUUAUAAGCAUGGCUCCCCACAUCCAAUUUUUCAGGCCAUGGAGCUUCUAUGGUUGGUUCAUAUGUGGUUAUCGAAGCAGGAUAAGUUCUUGAGGAGGACUCUAAUUGCUAUGGACCACAAGAUUUCAUAUGUCGCUCCCUAUUGCGUAUUGCUGUUGACAUUGGACUUGCUAUCCAGUAAGAGGGACAUUGGGAUCAUUGUUCAUCUAGAGAAGUCAGUGCUAUAUCUACGUCAGAAUAUUGGGAUGUUAAUGAUUGGAGUCCCGCAUUCCAAUCAACAACAUUGGGCCGAGAGAGCGCGCGGGUGGCGCAAGAGGCAAUGGGCAGCCGGUGCGCGAGUGUGUUAGCAGUGGGUAUAUCUGAAGAUUAUUUCUCAACUUAGCAUGUGGGUAGAGACUAAAAAGACGAUGCCAAGGUAGCAUGGCAGACCUGGCAAGUGCCACGAACAUCAUGAUAUUCUUCCUUUUCUUAAUUCCUUGAUUUGAAAAAUAAUUUGCUCUGCGUGUGUAGGAACGUAGCAGUCGGGCAAACGACACUUUCACAUCUUGAUCUAUAAGGGAAAUAAUUUCUUUACUUUA